rnacentral:rRNA from 1 species
GAUUUCUGGCUUGAUACAUUUUGCCGGCCACGGUUUCGUGUGUUAGUGCUUGAUGUUCUGGCCAUCCUUCCAAUCGCUAUUUACCUUUCUUCAUUGAUUGGUAAGUGGUAUUGGAUCUUUUACUUUGAAAAAAUUAGAGUGUUUCAAGCAGGCUUUAUGCUAUGAAUACAUUAGCAUGGAAUAAUAAUUUAGGGCUUCGGUUCUAUUUUGUUGGUUUCUAGGACUGAAGUAAUGAUUGAUAGGGAUAGUUGGGGGUGCUAGUAUUCAGCGGCCAGAGGUGAAAUUCUCGGAUUCGCUGAAGACUAACUUAUGCGAAAGCAUU